rnacentral:lncRNA from 1 species
GCACAAUAUUCAGUAGAGAAGGACUGGGCUGAAAGGCAGCAAUUUCUUUUGAACAAGACCAAUGCAUCUGCUCCAUUCCGUGGCCCUGAUGGAACUGAUAACGGAUAACAACAAAUGAUGUUUUUUCUACUUCUCUCAUAUGUAAAAUGCCAGGAGAUGGACGCAGACCAGGAUACCUUGUGGUGAUGUCUGCUAAAUAAAUAAAGUGCUCCC